UACAGAGGUGGCAAGCGUUGUUCGGAAUUACUGGGCGUAAAGGGCGCGUAGGCGGUCUGGUCAGUCCCUUGUGAAAUCCCCCGGCUCAACUGGGGAACUGCACGGGAAACAGCCGGGCUUGAGUUCGGGAGAGGGAAGCGGAAUUCCGGGUGUAGCGGUGAAAUGCGUAGAUAUCCGGAGGAACACCGGUGGCGAAGGCGGCUUCCUGGACCGAUACUGACGCUGAGGAGCGAAAGCGUGGGGAGCGAACAGG
rnacentral:rRNA from 1 species